UGGCUAGUUCUCGCGGAAACACCCAAGGGGUUCACGGCUCGUCCAUGAGACCGUAAUCGGGACCUAAGUCACCAAGAUCUUACUCCUUUUCCAUGGGUUCCCGUUGCUCACCAGCACCCCUGAGGACUAACAGUCCCGCUAGUGGGAUUUAUGCUAAGCCGUUGCCCAUACAACGGUCGAGUGGUUGCACGAUAGUGGAAUUAGGCAAGAUGACACAUCAACUCGGUCCUUAAUCACGACAGGAUGGAUAUCUCCCGACAUUGCUCAACCACCAAGGUACGAGCACAACAACAUGGCAUCCCACACGAGGAACACCCAUCCAUCCCGUCUACACAUCCUUUUUCCCCGAACCCAAAAGCCAUUUCUCUUACUUGGACACACGCACACAUAUAUUUUCCGAAUACACCAUUGUAAUAAUGAUUGCAUUUGAGUAACAAAUUCCUAAGCGUUCUAGCAGUGGUUAUCAUCUAAACAGAGCGAGUCAUAUUUAGAGAUAAGCAUAGGACAACAAGGAAUGUUCA
rnacentral:lncRNA from 1 species